AACUAGGCUUAUACUCAAGUAUAUCCAAUAAUAAUAAUAAUAAUAAUAAUGUCCCCAUGCAUAGGGAAAAAUGCACUCAUAUUUCAAUUUGUGUUUUUUUAAAUAAUAAUAAUAAAAUCCCCGUGCAUAGGGAAUUUUUUUUUGCAAACUUAUAUUUUAGUUAGUUUUUUAUAAUAGUAAUAAUAAUGUCCCCAUGCAUAGGGGGGAAAAUUGCAAACUCAUAUUUUAGUUAUAAUAAGGGCCUUAUCAGGGGAAAAAAGGAUUCCACCCCUAGUUGCCCUUAUUUACUGCAAGCAGCGAUCUAAUAUCCUUAGGAGAGGUUAUCUAACUCAAUAGCUGCUCCAAAAUAGUUGUAGGCAAUUGAGGAAUUUGUUCUUCCUGCCAGAGUUUUCCAAGAAGGAGUUAAUUCCGGAGAGCGGUCUGUGACAUUAUGGCUCCGUACCAAAGGGGAAAAUUACCCUGCGGAUGAAACGAGGAGCCUAACACCUAGGAUGAAAGAACUUUGUCAGUUUGGAUUCAGAAGUCCCACAGUAUCUUUGCGUGCUCAUUUUCCAAUACUUUUGCAGGUUUGUGAUCCCACCAGUUAUUAUUAUUAUUAUUAUUAUUAUUCUCUU
rnacentral:lncRNA from 11 species